rnacentral:rRNA from 1 species
GAUGAACGCUGGCGGCGUGCCUAAUACAUGCAAGUCGAGCGAACGGACGAGAAGCUUGCUUCUCUGAUGUUAGCGGCGGACGGGUGAGUAACACGUGGAUAACCUACCUAUAAGACUGGGAUAACUUCGGGAAACCGUAGCUAAUACCGGAUAAUCUUUUGAACCGCAUGGUUCAAAAGUGAAAGACGGUCUUGCUGUCACUUAUAGAUGGAUCUGCGCUGCGUUAGCUAGUUGGUAAGGUAACGGCUUACCAAGGCAACGAUGCAUAGCAGACCUGAGAGGGUGAUAGGCCACACUAGAGCUGGGACGCGGACCAGACUCCUACGAGAAGCAGCAGUAGGGUAUCUUACGCAAUGGGCGAGAGCCUGGCGGAGCAACGCCACGUGAGUGAUAGAAGUCUUGGGAUCGUAAAACUCUGUUAUUAGGUAAGAACAUAUGUGUAAUUUACUGUGCACAUCUUGACGGUACCUAAUCAGGAAGCCACGGCUAACUACGUG